rnacentral:rRNA from 1 species
CGGCAGCACAGGAGAGCUUGCUCUCUGGGUGGCGAGUGGCGGACGGGUGAGGAAUACAUCGGAAUCUACUUUUUCGUGGGGGAUAACGUAGGGAAACUUACGCUAAUACCGCAUACGACCUACGGGUGAAAGCAGGGGAUCUUCGGACCUUGCGCGAUUGAAUGAGCCGAUGUCGGAUUAGCUAGUUGGCGGGGUAAAGGCCCACCAAGGCGACGAUCCGUAGCUGGUCUGAGAGGAUGAUCAGCCACACUGGAACUGAGACACGGUCCAGACUCCUACGGGAGGCAGCAGUGGGGAAUAUUGGACAAUGGGCGCAAGCCUGAUCCAGCCAUACCGCGUGGGUGAAGAAGGCCUUCGGGUUGUAAAGCCCUUUUGUUGGGAAAGAAAUCCAGCUGGUUAAUACCCGGUUGGGAUGACGGUACCCAAAGAAUAAGCACCGGCUAACUUCGUGCCAGCAGCCGCGGUAAUACGAAGGGUGCAAGCGUUACUCGGAAUUACUGGGCGUAAAGCGUGCGUAGGUGGUCGUUUAAGUCCGUUGUGAAAGCCCUGGGCUCAACCUGGGAACUGCAGUGGAUACUGGGCGACUAGAAUGUGGUAGAGGGUAGCGGAAUUCCUGGUGUAGCAGUGAAAUGCGUAGAGAUCAGGAGGAACAUCCAUGGCGAAGGCAGCUACCUGGACCAACAUUGACACUGAGGCACGAAAGCGUGGGGAGCACACAGGAUUAGAUACCCUGGUAGUCCACGCCCUAAACGAUGCGAACUGGAUGUUGGGUGCAAUUUGGCACGCAGUAUCGAAGCUAACGCGUUAAGUUCGCCGCCUGGGGAGUACGGUCGCAAGACUGAAACUCAAAGGAAUUGACGGGGGCCCGCACAAGCGGUGGA